rnacentral:rRNA from 1 species
GGGGAAUAUUGCACAAUGGGCGAAAGCCUGAUGCAGUAACGCCGCGUGGGUGAUGACGGUCUUCGGAUUGUAAAGCUCUGCCUUUUGGGACGAUAAUGACGGUACCAAAGGAGGAAGCCACGGCUAACUACGUGCCAGCAGCCGCGGUAAUACGUAGGUGGCAAGCGUUGUCCGGAUUUACUGGGCGUAAAGGAUGUGUAGGCGGAUACUUAAGUGAGAUGUGAAAGCCCCGGGCUCAACCUGGGGACUGCAUUUCAAACUGGGUAUCUAGAGUGCAGGAGAGGAAAGCGGAAUUCCUAGUGUAGCGGUGAAAUGCGUAGAGAUUAGGAAGAACAUCAGUGGCGAAGGCGGCUUUCUGGACUGUAACUGACACUGAGGCUCGAAAGCGUGGGGAGCAAAC